UACGUAGGGGGCAAGCGUUGUCCGGAAUCAUUGGGCGUAAAGAGCGUGUAGGCGGCCAGAUAAGUCCGCUGUGAAAUCUCGAGGCUCAACUUCGAGCUGUCGGUGGAAACUGUCUGGCUAGAGUCCGGAAGAGGAGAAUGGAAUUCCUGGUGUAGCGGUGAAAUGCGCAGAUAUCAGGAAGAACACCCGUGGCGAAGGCGGUUCUCUGGGACGGUACUGACGCUGAGACGCGAAAGCUAGGGGAGCAAACAGG
rnacentral:rRNA from 1 species